GACGAACGCUGGCGGCGUGCCUAACACAUGCAAGUCGAGGGGCAGCGUGGAGCAGCAAUGCUCUGACGGCGACCGGCGGAAGGGUGCGUAACACGUGAGGAACCUGCCUCAAAGAGGGGGACAACAGUUGGAAACGACUGCUAAUACCGCAUAAGCCCACGACCCGGCAUCGGGAAGAGGGAAAAGGAGCAAUCCGCUUUGAGAUGGCCUCGCGUCCGAUUAGCUAGUUGGUGAGGUAACGGCCCACCAAGGCGACGAUCGGUAGCCGGACUGAGAGGUUGAACGGCCACAUUGGGACUGAGACACGGCCCAGACUCCUACGGGAGGCAGCAGUGGGGAAUAUUGCACAAUGGGGGAAACCCUGAUGCAGCGACGCCGCGUGGAGGAAGAAGGCUUUCGGGUUGUAAACGUUCUUUUAAGAGGGAAGAGCAGAAGACGGUAACCUCUUGAAUAAGCCACGGCUAACUACGUG
rnacentral:rRNA from 1 species